rnacentral:rRNA from 1 species
CAUCCCGAACACGACCGUUAAGCCCUCUAGCGCCGAUGGUACUUGGACCGAAGGGUCCUGGGAGAGUAGGACGCUGCCAAGC